CUUUUCCGCCGGCGACCGGCGCACGGGUGCGCACCGCGUAUGGAACCUACCUUGUACAGGGGAAUAGCCCAGGGAAACUUGGAUUAAUGCCCCGUAGCACCGUAUUUCGGCAUCGUUAUACGGUUAAAGUCUUCGGGCGGUACAAGAUGGCCAUGCGUCCCAUUAGCUAGUUGGUAAGGUAACGGCUUACCAAGGCUACGAUGGGUAGGGGCCCUGAGAGGGGGAUCCCCCACACUGGUACUGAGACACGGACCAGACUCCUACGGGAGGCAGCAGUGAGGAAUAUUGGACAAUGGAGGGGACUCUGAUCCAGCCAUGCCGCGUGCAGGAAGAAUGCCCUAUGGGUAGUAAACUGCUUUUAUACGGGAAGAAAAAGAGCUACGUGUAGCUUACUGACGGUACCGUAAGAAUAAGGACCGGCUAACUCCGUGCCAGCAGCCGCGGUAAUACGGAGGGUCCGAGCGUUAUCCGGAAUUAUUGGGUUUAAAGGGUCCGUAGGCGGGCCGAUAAGUCAGGGGUGAAAGUCUGCCGCUCAACGGUAGAACUGCCUUUGAUACUGUCGGUCUUGAGUUAUAGUGAAGUUGCCGGAAUAUGUAGUGUAGCGGUGAAAUGCAUAGAUAUUACAUAGAACACCGAUUGCGAAGGCAGGUGACUAACUAUCGACUGACGCUGAUGGACGAAAGCGUGGGGAGCGAACAGGAUUAGAUACCCUGGUAGUCCACGCCGUAAACGAUGGAUACUAGCU
rnacentral:rRNA from 1 species